GAUCAGUUACCACCAUCACAAAUCCAGCAACGUCUGUUGGCUCAGUCUUGGUGCAGGUGAUAAGGUUGAUCCAAGCUCCGCCAAAAGAGAGGUGAUGUCGAAAUCCCAAAAUCUCAGCCCCGAUCCCCGAGAGAGGAGUACGCAGUCCUUUUAUUGUCCCAGUCACCACAAUUCCCCCAGAUAGUCUGCCCAUUUCCACGGAGCUCAUUGUCAUACGUGCUGCCCUGUGUUCUUCCAUGUGCACAUGCCCAGGUGUUCACGGUGGUAGUGCAGGAGGGGCAG